GCCUACGGCCAUACCACCCUGAAAGCGCCCGAUCUCGUCUGAUCUCGGAAGCUAAGCAGGGUUGGGCUUGGUUAGUACCUGGAUGGUAGACCGCCUGGGAAUACCAGGUGUUGUAGGCU
rnacentral:rRNA from 1 species